rnacentral:rRNA from 1 species
AUUGAACGCUGGCGGCAUGCCUUACACAUGCAAGUCGAACGGCAGCACGGGUGCUUGCACCUGGUGGCGAGUGGCGAACGGGUGAGUAAUACAUCGGAACGUACCUUAUCGUGGGGGAUAACGCAGCGAAAGCUGUGCUAAUACCGCAUACGCCAUGAGGGGGAAAGCGGGGGAUCGCAAGACCUCGCGCGAUUAGAGCGGCCGAUGCCUGAUUAGCUUGUUUGUGGGGUAAAAGCCCACCAAGGCGACGAUCAGUAGCUGGUCUGAAAGGACGAUCAGCCACACUGGGACUGAGACACGGCCCAGACUCCUUCGGGAGGCAGCAGUGGGGAAUUUUGGACGAUGGAGGCAACCCUGAUCCAGCAAUGCCGCGUGAGUGAAGAAGGCCUUCGGGUUGUAAAGCUCUUUUGUCAGGGAAGAAACACCGGCUCUAACACAGUCCGGGAAUGACGGUACCUGAAGAAUAAGCACCGGCUAACUACGUGCCAGCCGCCGCAGUAA